rnacentral:piRNA from 1 species
UGGCGAAACUGACUGAUGCUCAGGUA